ACUAGUCAUACAAAACCAGCCAUAUUCAUCUCUCUUCAAUGCACAUCAUAGACAAAAACUGACCACUAAGACGCAAAAAAACAAGUAAAAUGUCAAGUAUUUGACUCAAUUUUACAAUUCAAUUUUAUCUUUCCGCUUUUGGUUUUAUGCUAAUCCAGACGGAAACGGGAAAAGUUUGAACUACAACAAUGGAUGACUUGUAUUCAAUUGAAAACUGCAGACUCACUUAACGAAGCCUUUUCUUCUUAUCACAAGAGGAACCUGCGGUGGUGAGGUACUGGUUACGCAAGUAGAGACUGCAUCGUGAAGUGGGAAAUCAUGGGGGAAAAGGACAGCGUGGAGGAGAUCAGAUUCUGCUUAUGGCUCAAACACGUCCCUGUUGUUCGCUGGUGAGCUGAACCCUGAGACUAAAUCAAUACUGGAUGAGACAGUAAAACACCCACGCCACACUGUUUUUGUGGCACUAGUGGCCUUCAUCCAUACCUGGAGAGGAAGGAGGACAGAGGGAGAAGGGGAAGACAUCCAGCAAAUUGAACCAGGAAGUACUGCGUUGAGGACUGUAGCCUCUGCACAUGGUGCGCCUGCUCUGUUACUGGGUCCUGUGGUCACCUCGACUUCUUCUAUUGGCAUAAAUGCUCAACAUGUGAGCCAAAGCAUGAGCAUAUUGCCUUUAUUACUGAGAACUGACCAAUGAUGGUCUGUAAAUUAGACAGGUGAUUUAUUCAAGAGAUUCAAAUAAAACCUUUUGGUUUGUUUUGUGUUUUUAAAGAAUAAAUGUUUUAUGUACUAGAAUUUGGAAAAUUGCUUUCACAAUCUUUAAUAGGCACAGACAUCUAUUGAGUCUGUUUAUGUUACUGAUUUUAAUUAAGGAAUAAAAG